rnacentral:rRNA from 1 species
UACGUAGGGUGCAAGCGUUAAUCGGAAUUACUGGGCGUAAAGCGUGCGCAGGCGGUUCCGCAAGUCAGAUGUGAAAUCCCCGGGCUCAACCUGGGAACUGCAUUUGAAACUACGGGGCUAGAGUGUGUCAGAGGGGGGUAGAAUUCCACAUGUAGCAGUGAAAUGCGUAGAGAUGUGGAGGAAUACCGAUGGCGAAGGCAGCCCCCUGGGAUGACACUGACGCUCAUGCACGAAAGCGUGGGGAGCAAACAGG